rnacentral:rRNA from 1 species
GACGGGCCCGCACAAGCAGCGGAGCGUGUGGUUUAAUUCGAUGUUACACGAAGAACCUUACCAGGGUUUGACAUGCAAGUGGUAGGAAGCCGAAAGGUGACCGACCCUUCGGGGAGCUUGCACAGGUGCUGCAUGGCUGUCGUCAGCUCGUGUCGUGAGAUGUUCGGUUAAGUCCGCUAACGAGCGCAACCCUCGCUGUGUGUUAUAUGUGUCACACGGGACUGCCGGUCUUAAGCCGGAGGAAGGUGGGGAUGAUGUCAAGUCAGCAUGGCCUUUAUAUCCUGGGCUACACACACGCUACAAUGGCCAACACAAUAGGUUGCUAAGCCGCGAGGUGGCGCCAAUCCAUAAAGUUGGUCUCAGUUCAGAUUGUAGGCUGCAACCCGCCUGCAUGAAGAUGGAGUUGCUAGUAACCGCAGGUCAGCUAUACUGCGGUGAAUACGUUCCCGGGUCUU